rnacentral:lncRNA from 1 species
AUACUCAGUGGUGGCCAUAGAGAGUUGGUGACUGCCUUUGAGAGGAGAAUGGUUGUGAUCCUUUUGCCGAGAACUCACCCAGAGGACUUAUACCUUGGUGACAGCAGAAGGACUCAAAUUAGAAAACUGAGGCCCAGAGAAGGAAAGUAGCUGCCAGAGGUCACACAGCUAGGAUUGAGGGAUCAGAGACUGCUGCAGCCCAGAUGCCUUCGCAGCCAUGGCCUGGCCCAUCCAACCCGCUGACCUCAUUCCCAGCUCCCCUCUCUUGCAAGCUCCCCCCUUGCCUGCCACGUAGACUGGAGGCUUAGCUGCAUCUUCGCUGGAGGGAGGAAGAGCAGAACACAGAGGCCCUGAGCCCAGAGCUCUGCUGGGUCAGACUGGCCUGGGGAGAGCAGCUGUGUUCCUCCAGCGCCCCCCAAGACCAGGCUGGGCCUCAGUUUGCCCUCCUCAAACCUCCUCAAACCUGAGGCCCAGAAGGUGGAGGGGACAGAGGUCAUGGGAGAAGCAUGACAAUGAAGUGGGUUGGAGUGGGCGAGAAUCACGUGGGGGCUCUGAGGUCAUUGUAGCCAUCCCCCUGCCUCCUCAGGGCAGGAGGGUGCUAGGAUCAGACCCAGAAAGGGACAGGGGCAGGACAUUCCUCCUCUUUUCAAGCAUUCACAAGAAGCAGAGUUCCAUGGUGGUCUAGGAGGGGGUCCUUUGUAAGAUCUAGUCUUCCUCCUUCUGCUGUGUGAGGACCACAGUAUGUGGCUAGGACGAGGUGGGCGGUACGCUGUCUUCCGUCUCUCAGCUGCUCUCAGGGACCUUCGCUUCAAUCCUGUCUCCAGGCUCUGCCUCUGACCCCUGCCUCCCCCUCGCUUUGCUUCCCUGCCCCCCAGGGUCCUGGGUCUCCAGCUGCCCCAGUUGAACAGGGGGCUGUCCCCUGCGGCUCUCAAGGCGUUCCGGGGCUGUGAGUCAUCGGGAAUGUCUGUUCUGACUGCGGCUUCCCUCUCCUGACGUGGACCCUCUUUCUCCUCCUCCCCCACACUCAGGGAGAGGGUGCCCCUCCCAGGCAGGGGGCUCUGAAGUGGGGGAGGAAGCCACAGGCAGGCCUGGGAUGAGGUCUUGCUCCCCGAUUGCCAUCGGAAGGAGGCUUCGAAGACUUGCACGCCCCUCACCCAGAUUCUACCUUCCCAAGGCAGAUAGAAUUCCCUGACUUUCUCCCAUUUCCCAGGUGGGGACACUGAGGAGAGGCGGGGAGGGGAGGGCCUGAACUUGGGUGGGCCCAGGUUCACCCACUCCCUUUUAGGGCUCAGCUUUGUCAGACUGGGAAUCUGCCCAAGUGUCCUUCUGAAGGGCCCUCCCCGCAUUCGAGGCUGGAUCUGGCAGAAAAGCUGGAGAGGCUCUGCUGCCCGCUCCAGGGAUGACACGUCUCUGCUGGGUGGGGAGUCCACGUCCGCAGAAAAGGGGGAGGCCACGUGUCUGGACCCUUCCCGCAGAGCCCCUGUGCCCUGCAAGGCUGCCUGCCACCCCCCUCCUUCUCUCCCUCCUCUCCCCAGCAGCCCUGGCCUGCCCCCUCCCUCUGAUCUCAAGAAAUAGCUGGGGGGUCGGGGGAGGGGACACUGAAGGGAAGACCAAGCUAGGAAAAGCUCCUCUCCACCCCCUCCCAGCAUGUCUGGGCAUUUCACUCCCCACCAAUGAGCCUCAGUUUCCUCAACUGGAAAAUAAGGGGGAUGAACAGAAAAAGUCUCUACCCAUGGGUGAGUCUAUGAUCCUGUCUCUGCACAGUCAGAUAGACUCAGGCACUCACACCCACUCAAACCCACCUGUGCUCUCAGGCACGUUCAUUCAUUCACACAUUCACCGAUGCACACUUACACACACAUCUACACGCACAUGUGGCCCUCUGCCUAUUUUGGGUACAGCAGAUCCCCACAAUUUCUGUUUCCCUCUUUCUGACAGCCCACCAUUUCUUCUCUCAUUCCAAUCAUACCUCCCCCAGCCCCCACCCCACCCCCUUUAGCCACCCUCUUUACAUUUCUCUACUCCUGGUUCUCCUCCUCUUGAGGUCACUGGCAGGGCAGUGAGAUUUGAACUUCAGAGUAUCAGACCUCUGACCUUGCCAAAGACCACUCUGACUCUGCCCUAAGGCUCUUUCUGAGUUUUGGGUGGGAGGGAGUCUGAGUGAGGAGAGAGAAUAGAGCUGAGAAAGGCUGGUUCUUUCCUACCCAGCUGGGGACCUGCAAAAGGGUGCCCUUCACUUGUCUUUCCUGAACAUUAUGAACAUUCGCUUUCCAACAAAGUCUGUCCCACUGACAUCCGGAGGCCUCCUCUGAAGUGCGAUCAUUUUAGCAGCUUGUCCUGGCUGUUGCCCCAGGUUGCACCCUUCUAGGAACUUCCGCCUGAGGGAGACUGGUCAGAGCUCAGGAGGGACUGUUCCAGGGGAUGAGAUAUCUGCUGGCCAGGAAAGGCAUGGGAACUGGGCAGCGGAGCACACCCUCCGGACCUGGCCCAACUUCAGAAUAACAACAAAUGAUUGUGCCAGGCUCUGCCGUAAGUACUUUACACCUUUGUACUCCUCCAAAAGCCCUCUGAGAUGGGUGCUCCAAUUGUCUCCAAUUUCAAAGGAGGAAAGAGAGGCACAGAGAAGUCAAGUCAGUUGCCUGAAGUCACAAAGCUAGCAAGUGGCUGAGCUGGAAUUCAAACCCAGGCAGCCUGGCUUAUCUGUUACUCCCAGCUGGUCCAAGGGACCCGGGAUGGUCCAAGGGAUGCCCUCCCCCUUCAUCUAAAGAAGUGGCUAUUUGCAUAAACAGGCUUCCAUCUGUGUGCAUGCAUGGAAAGGAUCACGGGAUGACGUGGCUGGAAACAGACCACAGGCACCACCAGUAGUUGGAAAGAUCAGAACAGAGCUGCCUCCCUCCCUUUUGCUGGAGAACUAUUGUGAGCUGACCACCACACACACGACAUCUCCUUUAAUCCUCACAACAGCUCUGGGACGUCAGCCUUAAUAUCUCUAUUUUAUAGCUGUAGAGUCAGAAGGGCCGAGGCGUUGUGCAAGAUCCCCUUUCUCAAGCUCAGAAAGAACCCAGGUGUCCUGACAGCCAGAUCAGGCUUCUCUCAUUGAUCCACACGUCCCCUAUUUCCAAAUCUACAUGGCUUCUAGACACACACAGCCACAUACAACAGACCACGCAGAAUGUUGGAAAGAAUUACAGCUCUUGGCCGGGCGCGGUGGCUCACGCCUGUAAUCCCUGCACUUUGGGAGGUCGAGGUGGGUGGAUCACCUGAGGUCAGGAGUUCAAGACCAGCCUGACCAACAUGAUGAAACCCCGUCUCUACUAAAAAUACAAAAAAAUUAGCUGGGCGUGAUGGCGGAUACCUGUAAUCCCAGCUACCCAGGAGGCUGCGGCAGAAGAAUCGCUUGAAACCAGGAGGCAGAGGUUGCAGUGAGCUGAGAUCGUACCACUGCACUCCAAUCUGGGCAACAACAGCAAAACUCCAUCUAAAAAAAAAAAAAAAUUACAGCUCUCGGUAGUGUUUGAAGAAGCACUUUGCACCUCCUCAUUGACAAUGCCCCAGGAAGGGCUUAUGCUCAUUCUGUUGUGAGGGGAAGCCCCUUGCUGGGGCUUCCCCCCUGGCUGGGAAGUGGUAAAGCUGUGAAUAGAUCCCAUGUCUGCCUGGCCUGGCCACAAAGCUAGUGCUCCUCCCACUCUCCAAUACCACCUGCCACCCUCACUGUCACCAGCCCAGAAGCACCCCCUGCACACACCAUAUCCCCAGUGAGCACACAUGCAUGUCACAGACAGGAAAAUCACACUCAUGUAGUACCUGCACGACACAGGCUAAGGGCUUUUUGGUGUUUCCUGUGUGCCAGGCCCUGUUGUAAGUUCCGUGUAGGCAUGAGCUAGAUGCAAGGCCGCAACAAUCCUAGGAUGUAGGUUCCUUUCAAUAUUCUUAUCCUCAUUUUACAAAUGAGGAAACUGAGGCUCAGAGAGGUUAAGUAAUUUGCCCAAGGUCACACAGCUAGGAAGUUGCAGAGCUGAGAUUUGAACGCAGGCUUUAACCACUGUGCUAUGGCCCAUUCUCUAAUAUUGAUUGCAUGCUACUCAUUCAGUCAGUCAUCAACUAUUACUGACUGCUGUGUUGUGCCCAACUCUGCACAGGCCCCCGGGACGGCUCUUCCCUGCCCCCUCCUCCUGACCCAGCCUGGUGUGUACCACAUGGUAGAUGGGGGCUGUACCUGCUCUCACUCUCCUUCUUUUCCAGAGUUCCUCCUCCCCCACAAGCUGGCACAUGUGGAUAUUGGCUCUGUUUUGCCUUUGACCCCUAGUGAAAGAAAAUACUGAGACGGAGUCUCGCUCUGUCGCCCAGGUUGGAGUGAAGCGGCUAGAUCUCAGCUCACUGCAACCUCUGCCUCCCAGGUUUAAGCAAUUCUCCUGUCUCAGCCUCCAGAGUAGCUGGGACUACAGGCGCAUGCCACCAUGCCCUACUAAUUUUUUGUAUUUUUAGGAGAGACAGGCCUUCACCAUGUUGGUCAAGCUGGUCUCGAACUCCUGACCUCAGGUGACCCACCGGCUUCAGCCUCCCAAAGUGCUGGGAUUACAGGCAUGAGCCACCGCGCCCAGCCUCAUAUCUAUCUUUAUCACUCCAUUUCAGAUCUUCUUCCAUAUAUGGCUCUGUGUGUCUCCUGUCCUUCCCUGUCUCCUCACUGCUUUUCAGCUGGUAGACCCCUGUGGGGACAACAGAUCAGAGCUUGGUCACCAAUAUGGACAUCUAGGUCUGAGCAGGGCCCACUCCCCGGGGGCGCAUCAGCUCCAUCCCGGCACCCUUUACACUGGCCUUCUCUUCACAAAGGACCACAGGUCAUCCUCAAGCCUUCCUCCCAGGCUAUCCUUGUCCCUGAAUACUAAUGUCUAAAGGUCAGCCCAGCUACCAGCAGUGUGCAUGUGAUGUGUCCCAUCUCCCCUUCGGAUUGGAGGAAGAAGCUGUGUCCCUCCCAUCAGACAGACGGUCUCCUUAAAGGUAGGCAUUGCGUCCACUCGUUCAGACAGAGAGCUCUCUGAAGUCAGGGAGUGUGUCUCCCAUACCAGAUUGGGGUUCUUUGAGGGUAUAACGUAGGUUUUCCCAUCAGACUAGGAGCAGGCCUGUGUCACCUCCUUCCUCUAGAUUCUCCUGGUCUCCAGCUUGGGCUCUGCUGGAAAGAAGAGGAAGUAUUUAGCAAGGGUGAAGGUAUGAUGCCCUCCCCACCAUCCGUCUCUCCCUCCAAACCUGUUCAAACUGGAACUUUAACAUUCACCCCCAAUCCAGUAAGCUCAACUUCCUUGAGUCCCUCUUCAGUCCUGUCCUCUCUUUCCCAGAUGGGUUCUUACUUCCCUGAGGCAACCAGAGAUAAGAAAAGACCAGAAUAUGAAUAUCCAGCAUUCCACAAAGAAUCCUACAGGCAGGGAUAUUGCCCAAUCACCAGUGCCUCGCAUCCCAGUUCUAUCCAAGAUCCAAGCUUGAUAUCCUCCUGAAAGACUUCCUGAAUCAGGUCACCAACAUGGACAUCUGAACUUCCAGAAUCAGGUCACCGUCUUUCUUCUCAUCUCUGGAUGUAUUUGGAGCUCAUUUGUCUGACGGUUUUUGAAUGCUAUCUUUUAAAAAUAAACUUUUACAAUUUGGGUUUAAUAAUUCUAGAUUUAUAGAAAAGUUGAAAAGAAAGUACAGAAAGUUCCCAUAUAUCCCUUAUCCAGUUCUCUUAAUGUUAACCUCCUACAUCAUCAUGGAACAUUUGCCAAAAUGAAGAUGUCAACACUGGUGCUUUGCUGUGAACUAAACUCCAGACUUUAUUCGGAUUUCAUGAAUUUUUCUCCUAAGGUCCCUUUUCCGUUCCGGCAUUCCACCCAGGAUAUCACAUUGCAUUUGGUGUUUGUGUCUCCUUGGUCUCCUCUGGUUCUUGAGAGUUUCUCAGUCUCUCCUUGUUUUUCGUGACUGAAGUUUCAAGGAGUACUGGUCAGGUAUUCCAUAGAAUGUCCUACUGUUAGCUUUCAGCAGUAAAAGCCUUUCCACAAACAAAACCUUCUGCAGAGUCCUAAUCUGUGAACAGACAAGAAUGGAGUUGCCAUGGUCACAGCAGUGAUGAGAAAUGAUCCCCUGAAUAUGAAUCUCCAUGAAACCCCCCGAGAAUUAUAAGAAACCCCCAGGAUACCAUGGA